rnacentral:rRNA from 1 species
UACGAAGGGGGCUAGCGUUGUUCGGAUUUACUGGGCGUAAAGCGCACGUAGGCGGAUCGUUAAGUCGAGGGUGAAAUCCUGGAGCUCAACUCCAGAACUGCCUUCGAUACUGGCGAUCUCGAGUCCGGAAGAGGUGAGUGGAACUCCUGGUGUAGCGGUGAAAUGCGCAGAUAUCAGGAGGAACACCGGUGGCGAAGGCGGGUCUCUGGGCCGAUACUGACGCUGAGGAGCGAAAGCGUGGGGAGCGAACAGG